UGGGGAAUAUUGGACAAUGGGCGCAAGCCUGAUCCAGCCAUGCCGCGUGAGUGAUGAAGGCCUUAGGGUUGUAAAGCUCUUUUGCCGGGGACGAUAAUGACGGUACCCGGAGAAUAAGUCCCGGCUAACUUCGUGCCAGCAGCCGCGGUAAUACGAAGGGGACUAGCGUUGUUCGGAAUCACUGGGCGUAAAGCGCACGUAGGCGGAUCAUUUAGUCAGGGGUGAAAUCCCGGGGCUCAACCUCGGAACUGCCUUUGAUACUGAUGGUCUCGAGUCCGAUAGAGGUGGUAGAAUUCCUAGUGUAGAGGUGAAAUUCGUAGAUAUUAGGAAGAAUACCGGUGGCGAAGGCGGCCCACUGGAUCGGUACUGACGCUGAGGUGCGAAAGCGUGGGGAGCAAAC
rnacentral:rRNA from 1 species